rnacentral:rRNA from 1 species
CGGCAACAGCUCAAAUUUGAAAUCUGGCCCCCCCGGGGUCCGAGUUGUAAUUUGGAGAGGAUGCUUUUGGGUGGCCGCCGGCCUAAGUUCCUUGGAACAGGACGUCACAGAGGGUGAGAAUCCCGUACGUGGCCGGAGAGGCGCCCUCCGUAAAGCUCCUUCGAC